rnacentral:rRNA from 1 species
CAUGAAACCACUAUUAAAGUCACAACGGUGAAAGAUGAGCAUGCGUCCCAUUAGCUAGUUGGUAAGGUAACGGCUUACCAAGGCAACGAUGGGUAGGGGUCCUGAGAGGGAGAUCCCCCACACUGGUACUGAGACACGGACCAGACUCCUACGGGAGGCAGCAGUGAGGAAUAUUGGACAAUGGGCGCAAGCCUGAUCCAGCCAUGCCGCGUGCAGGAUGACGGUCCUAUGGAUUGUAAACUGCUUUUAUACGAGAAGAAACCCUCCGACGUGUCGGAGCUUGACGGUAUCGUAAGAAUAAGGAUCGGCUAACUCCGUGCCAGCAGCCGCGGUAAUACGGAGGAUCCAAGCGUUAUCCGGAAUCAUUGGGUUUAAAGGGUCCGUAGGCGGUCAGGUAAGUCAGUGGUGAAAGCCCAUCGCUCAACGGUGGAACGGCCAUUGAUACUGUCUGACUUGAAUUAUUAGGAAGUAACUAGAAUAUGUAGUGUAGCGGUGAAAUGCUUAGAGAUUACAUGGAAUACCAAUUGCGAA